rnacentral:tRNA from 1 species
GGUUAAAAAGUUUUAAAACAUUCAUUUUGAAAAUGAAAAAUAUAGAUUAUUAUCUAUUUUAACCU